rnacentral:rRNA from 1 species
GACGAACGCUGGCGGCGUGCUUAACACAUGCAAGUCGAACGGAAAGGCCCUGCUUUUGUAGGGUGCUCGAGUGGCGAACGGGUGAGUAACACGUGAGUAACCUGCCCUUGACUUUGGGAUAACUUCAGGAAACUGGGGCUAAUACCGGAUAGGAGCUCCUGCUGCAUGGUGGGGGUUGGAAAGUUUCGGCGGUUGGGGAUGGACUCGCGGCUUAUCAGCUUGUUGGUGGGGUAGUGGCUUACCAAGGCUUUGACGGGUAGCCGGCCUGAGAGGGUGACCGGCCACAUUGGGACUGAGAUACGGCCCAGACUCCUACGGGAGGCAGCAGUGGGGAAUAUUGCACAAUGGGCGGAAGCCUGAUGCAGCAACGCCGCGUGCGGGAUGACGGCCUUCGGGUUGUAAACCGCUUUCGCCUGUGACGAAGCGUGAGUGACGGUAAUGGGUAAAGAAGCACCGGCUAACUACGUG